AUGCACUCUAAUUAAUAUCCUUUAAAUUCUCUUUCUCGAUUUUCGUGCAUGUUCGAUUAUUCGACGGCCGCCCAAGGCGUCGCGUGCGACGCCGGUCGGCCGCUUACGCUCGCUCUUUCCUUCGUUGACUCCUCGUAUCUUCCCUAACGUCGAAAAUAAUUUCUAAAAAAAUUAUUUACGCGCAUACUUUAAUUAUCGCAAUCAUUUAUCGUUGAAGAGGUAUAAUUUCAUUUCAUACUUAGGAUAAAAUUAUUCAUUCUUUAAAACGUUCCGGAAAUCAUUACAUAAUUCGCCACGAUUAAUUAUCGGCCCAUCGAUUAAUUAAUUUGGCCCUCACCUUUAUACUUCCAAUUAAAAUAAAAAGGCCCAAAAAAAACAAGGCCCAAAUUUUUUUUUCUCUAUCCCCUCCACAUCUCUCUUCCUCUCUAUUCAUCUCUCUCUCUCUUCGACGGAAACUGCCCAAAUUCUCCCCCAAGGUUGGGUCGCCGCCUCCGCGAAUCGUCUCCCUCGUCGACCCCCACGCCGACGAUCACUGCUCGCCGGGAGAAACGUCGUCUUCCGCCGCUGCCGCUGGAGUCGUCGGAAAAAGCUGUUGUCCGCCGCUGCUACUGCUGCCACGGGGAGGGAAGCCGCUGUCGUCGCACCGUCGGAGAGGCGCCAGUCGUCGCUGCUGCCGCCGGACAGCACGGCUGCUUUCGCCGGCACCCCGAACCUCUCCGAUCAGCCCCGCACUCCACCCGAACAGCCCGAUUACAAGAUAAAUGGUGGAAGAUGGAGAGUGGAGAAGUUGAAAGUUGGGAAGUCUCCACUUGAAUGAAACCGCCGAUCGUGGAGAGGAGAAGAAGGAGAAGGGUUCUUGGGCUUGUUCCCUUUUUUUGGAAAAGAAUGGACUCCCACUUUAAUUAGAUUGGUUUGGGCUCAUUUAGUUGAAAGCCCAAGUUUGUAAAAUUCUUUAUCAAUGGGUUGGAUUUCUUUAAAUAAUUAGGGUCCAAACCAUUUUGUAGAUAGACAAUUGGACUCUAAUUAAAUUUGCAAAGCCCAAUAUAAAUUCAUACUUUAUAUUUUCGUA